ACGCCGUUGGUGAAAUGGUUAUCAUGCUUGCCUUCCACUGUUCAAUCCACAGCCACGGCAGCAAGCGGCGGGGGUUCGAUUCCCUCACGGCGUA
rfam:Rhizoctonia solani AG-1 IA unplaced genomic scaffold scaffold12, whole genome shotgun sequence.